GAUGAACGCUGGCGGCGUGCCUAAUACAUGCAAGUCGAGCGAACAGACGAGGAGCUUGCUCCUCUGACGUUAGCGACGGACGGGUGAGUAACACGUGGAUAACCCACCUAUAAGACUGGGAUAACUUAGGGAAACCGGAGCUCCUACCGGAUAAUAUAUUUAACCGGAUGGUUCAAUAGUGAAAGCCGGUUUUGAUGUCACUUCUAGAUAGAUCCGCGCCGCUUUAGCUAGUUGGUACGGUAACGGCUUGGCAUGGCCAGGAUGGGUAGCCGACCCGACAGGGUGAUCGGCGACACUGGAACUGAGACACGGUCCAGACACCGACGGGAGGCAGCAGUAGGGAAUCGACGGCGAUGGGCGGAAGACUGACGGAGCAACGCCGCGUUGGUGAUGAGGGUCUGCGGAUCGUAAAACGCUGUUAUUAUGGAAAAACAAAUGUGUAAGUAACUAUGCACGUCGUGACGGUACCUAAUCAGAAAGCCACGGCUAACUACGUG
rnacentral:rRNA from 1 species